AAAAUGUCGCUAGACUGUCUUUGACGCUAUAGUCAAUUUUUAGCCAGGCUGGUGGCCUCUGACAUUACUUCAACUCAGGCACAACUAAGACUGAGCUUUAUUCAUUCAAACUGAAUUGUUGGCAAUAAAACAUGUCUUGACUAACUUUAAAUGCAAGUAUCAUCAUAACAAUGAAUUUGAUUGCCACUAAAAAAAGAAGCCAAGGGACUCAGUCAGAAAAAAAAUUGAUUAUCCAAAUAAGUGGACAACAAAUAAAUCCAGUUUUAUAAAAAUGCCUAAUUUGCCCAAACCCUUUCUUGAUUUUUAUAAGUUCUGUCUUUGGCAUUGGAUACCUUCAAUUAUGGAUUAGGAGCUAGGAAGGAGAAGAGACAGUUGACCAAGAAGAAAGGAUAUUCUUAAACAAAGUUAGUCAAGUGUUUUUAAUUAUUGGAAUAUACACACAUGUCUUUGAUUUUAAUUAGUUCCAUUGUUUAUUUUAAUUGGGUUGGAGGUUUGUUCACUAGAUUCAUAUGUGUAGAGUACCAGCCAAAAAAAGUUCACAUUUUUACACAGUAAAACUAUUGUACAACUAAUCUUUUUGUACCGUUUCUGUAUUUGUUUCGUUUGCACAAAGUUCAGACAAAACGCAAUAAAGCCACGUUUUCAACUUUUUGCUAACAAUUAUUGAAUGUGGGGGUGAACAAGAAUGUCCAGAUAUAGGUGGGGCGACAGCAAGAAAAUGGCCGUUUGGAGUGGUGAAUUUUCUUCUGCAGUAACUGACUGCGUUGGAACUACUCAGAGCUCCUUUUGUGCUACUAUUACAUUUGAUUGUGCUUCUUGACUCAGUGAGCUUACUGGAUGGCCACCGGCUCACUUAGGGGCACGGGCUCAAACAGCAGACUGACUGCCACCGCUAUGAUGGGCUGAAUGAAGAUUACCUGAGUCCUAUACUUAAAUCUAAGCUCUCAUUCAGGAUACCUCAUUCAUAACUUGUUAUUGAUGCCAGAGUACUCUUGACUUGUAACCAUGCUGAAGACUUUGUGAUUGGUUAUACAAGAUCAACGUUAGUCGUAUAUUGUAAUAAUC